CGUAGGGCGCAAGCGUUGUCCGGAAUUAUUGGGCGUAAAGAGCUCGUAGGCGGCUUGUCACGUCGGGUGUGAAAGCCCGGGGCUUAACCCCGGGUCUGCAUUCGAUACGGGCUAGCUAGAGUGUGGUAGGGGAGAUCGGAAUUCCUGGUGUAGCGGUGAAAUGCGCAGAUAUCAGGAGGAACACCGGUGGCGAAGGCGGAUCUCUGGGCCAUUACUGACGCUGAGGAGCGAAAGCGUGGGGAGCGAACAGGAUUAGAUACCCUGGUAGUCCACGCCGGAAACGGUGGGAACUAGGUGUUGGCGACAUUCCACGUCGUCGGUGCCGCAGCUAACGCAUUAAGUUCCCCGCCUGGGGAGUACGGCCGCAAGGCUA
rnacentral:rRNA from 1 species